AUUUUCCGUGAAAAAAAAUUAAACUAAACAACGGUUUGGUAUAAGUAGCACCCACGCCAUCUACUAGGAGACCUUUAGGCUUUUGAUUCCACAAUUAUUCUCUGCUGUUCGCCCCUUCAAUCAAUCAAACCCUAACACGCUUCUCACAGGUUUUGUAGUAGUGUGUGGUGUAUGGCCUACAGUGAUGUGGUGAAUUUGUUGUUUGCCCUUGCGGUUUGGUGUACUGCUUACAUUACUGUUGCAGUUCUCGCUUCCUUUCGAGCAGUCAAUUACUUCUGUACUUUCUGAAACCUCCUUGCUGUUUCAUAAGGUUACCAUGGGUUAUGCACAGCUUGUGAUAGGUCCUGCUUGUAGUGGCAAGUCUACCUAUUGCUCGGGUUGGCACCACAACAACCCCUAAUAUUACAAGGCCAUGGUCAGAUUGUUCUAGAGCAUAGUUGGGGAUGAUAAACCAAAAUUCCGUUCUUUCUUUGUUAGCAAAAUGCAAAAGUAUAAGUGAAUUGAAAAAACUGCAUGGUUUAAUAGUCACAACCCCAACUAUUAAGUGCAUAGUCCCCUUGAGCAAGCUUAUUGACUUCUGUGUAGAUUCAGAAUUUGGGGACAUCAAUUAUGCAAACUUGGUAUUUCGCCAAAUUGAUACCCCUAGCGUUUACAUUUGGAACUCUAUGAUACGAGGCUUUGUUAACCGUCACAAUCCAAGAAUGUCUAUGCUUGUGUAUAGAAAAAUGAUAGAAGAUGGGUAUUCCCCCAAUCACUUUACUUUCCCAUUUGCACUCAAAGCAUGUUGUCUAAUUGCCGAUCAAGAUUGUGGAAAAUGCAUUCAUAGCUGCAUAGUGAAAUCCGGGUUUGAAGAUAAUGCCUAUGUUGCUACUGGAUUACUCCAAAUGUAUGCGUCAUGUGCAGAUAUGAAGUCAGGACUGCAAGUGUUUGAUAAUAUUCCCAAGUCGAAUGUGGUUGCUUGGACUUGUUUGAUUGCUGGGUUUGUGAACAAUAAUCAACCAUAUGAAGCUUUGAAGGUGCUUGAAGACAUGAGCAAUUGGGGUGUCGAGCCUAAUGAAAUAACUAUGGUGAAUGCUGUGGUUGCCUGUGCUCUUAGCAGAGACGUUGACAGUGGACGUAGGAUCCACCAGUGCAUUCGUAAGGCUGGUUAUGAUCCCUUUGUGUCCACACCGAAUAGUAAUAUCAUUCUUGCAACUGCAAUCCUUGAUAUGUAUGCCAAAUGUGGUUGCUUGAAGAUAGCAAGAGAACUGUUCAACAAAAUGCCCAAGAGAAACAUUGUAGCUUGGAACAGUAUGAUUAAUGCCUACAAUCAGUAUGAGAGGCAUCAGGAGGCGAUAGAUCUCUUUUUUGAUAUGUGGACUAGUGGCAUUUAUCCUGAUAAGGCUACUUUUCUAAGUGUUUUGAGUGUUUGUGCCCAUCUGUGUGCUCUAGCAUUGGGACAAGCUGUUCACGCUUAUCUAUUAAAAACUAACAUUAUUGCAACAGACAUUGCCCUUGAUACUGCUCUUCUUGACAUGUAUGCCAAGACUGGUGAGUUAGGAGGUGCACGGAAGAUUUUUAGCAGUUUGCAGCAAAAGGAUGUGGUGAUCUGGACUAGCAUGAUCAAUGGUUUAGCCAUGCAUGGUCGUGGAAAUGAAGCAUUGAGUAUGUUUCAAAUAAUGCAAAAGGAUAGUUCUCUAGUUCCUGAUCACAUCACCUACCUAGGAGUUUUAUUUGCAUGUAGUCAUGUUGGACUCGUUAAAGAGGCUCAAAAACAUUUUAGACAAAUGACAGAAAUGUACAGUAUAGUGCCAGAAAGAGAGCAUUAUGUGUGCAUGAUUGAUCUUUUGAGUCGGGCUGGUCAUUUCAUAGAAGCAGAAAGAUUAGUGGGGACAAUGCCCGUAAAACCAAAUACUGCCAUAUGGGGUGCUCUUUUAAAUGGCUGUCAGAUUCAUGAAAACUUGUCUGUUGCUAAUCAAGUGAAACCACGACUAACAGGGCGGGAACCUGGUCAAAGUGGGGUUCAUGUUCUUCUAUCUAAUAUAUAUGCAACAGCUGGCAUGUGGGAGGAGGUAAAUGUGACUAGAAAAGUUAUGAAGCAUAGAAGGAUCACAAAGACAAUUGGUCACAGUUCGCUUGAAAUUAUAUAAGUUUGUAUAAUUUGUACAAGUGUAUGAAACAUAUCAAAUAGAUGUGAUUCAGAAUCCAGAGUGGUCAGAUAGAACUUCAUUCACACGUUCCAAUGCUUAAGAAUUUUGUGGAAAAUCUGAAACGGAAAAAUUUUAGUGUUUGUGCUGUUUACUUACUUGAUUCUCAGUUCAUGACAGAUGUGACCAAAUUUAUUAAUGGAUGCUUGGCUUGCCUUUCUGCAAUGGUUCAACUUGAACUACCUCAUGUUAAUAUCCUCUCAAAAAUGGACCUUGUGACUAACAAGAAAGAUCUUGAUGAAGCCCACCCUUUUACUGUCUGAAUUGAAUCAACGGAUGGGUCCUCUAUGCAAAGCUGAAUAAAGCUUUUCUUGAAUUGGUUAAUAACUUUAGCAUGGUGAGUUUUAUACCACUAGACUUGAGGAAGGAAAAAAGUAUAUAAUAUGUACUGGGCCAAAUUGACAACUGCAUCCAGUAUGGGGAAGAUGCAGAUGUGAAGGUUAAGGAUUUUGAUACCGAGGAAGAUAACGAUUUUAAUCUCAUACUUGACCACUUUGUUAUCUUCACUUAUGUUUUAAGUUAAUAAACAAAUAUUAAUUUUAAAAAUACUAAAAAAACAUCUAUUGGAUGUAAUCGAGUUUUAGUUAAUGAAGCUAAAACACAUUCAUCA